GUCAGACAAUUUUAUUUGAAUUUAAGUUACUUCAAUGGAACAGUAAAGUCUACAGUGAAAGGUGUUGAUAUUAUUCUUGAUUCUAUGCAUUUGGGAUAAAUCCUGCACUUGCCUUGUGAAGGAUAUACUAAUAUAAAGCUCUCAAUCAAAGAAGAAGAAAUUAAUGUUAUCUUAGGAAGAACUUUUACUGAAGGUUUGAAUAAAUUAGAAGUAAAAAUUUUUUCUAUUGAGAUGAGGUUGUUACAUCACAUGGUAACCAAACUGUUUGUCCCUA
rnacentral:lncRNA from 1 species